AUUGAACGCUGGCGGCAGGCCUAACACAUGCAAGUCGAGCGAGCGGCGGACGGGUGAGUAAUGUCUGGGAAACUGCCUGAUGGAGGGGGAUAACUACUGGAAACGGUAGCUAAUACCGCAUACCAUCAGAUGUGCCCAGAUGGGAUUAGCUUGUAGGUGGGGUAAUGGCUCACCUAGGACACGAUCCCUAGCUGGUCUGAGAGGAUGACAAGCAACACUGGAACUGUGAAACGGUCCAGACGCCCACGGGAGGCAGCGGUGGGGAAGAUUGCACAAUGGGCGCAAGCCUGAUGCAGCCAUGCCGCGUGUAUGAAGAAGGCCUGCGGGUUUUAAAGCACUUUCAGCGAGGAGGCGUUACUCGCAGAAGAAGCACCGGCUAACUCCGUGCCAGCCGCCGCGGUAAUUC
rnacentral:rRNA from 1 species